ensembl:snoRNA
CCCUCCUACAAAGGCGUGUCUGUGGUUCCCUGUCUUUGUACACGUAAGAAUUGGAGGCAAAGAAAUGUGGAUUUGGGAAACUUUGAGGCCAGCUUGCUCCUUGCAGGCUUAUGAUCAACCAAUCUCACAUAG